UCCCUUGCUCGAUAUUCGUCCAUGUUUGAAUGUGUCCACUUCCUGAGCCUAUGUGUGGGGUUCGUGAGAACUGGCGCCACACUCUUCGCACAAAGAAUCAAAAUAAUGGUAGCAACGAUGAUGGCAAUUGUGGCAGUAGUGUCAGCCAUGCAGGUGAAGAUGUAUGGGAAACAACUUUGAGAGUGAAUAAAUUACUCUGCUAUUAAGAAAAUUGGAUCUUCACAGUUAGGUGGCGAUGAAGUUCACUUCACAAUUAUAUGGUUCUGUACUAAGGCAAUUGUCUUGGGUUGACCAAUACUGUGAUAGAUGAAAAUUGUGCUGAAGCCUGUCAAUAUGUAUAUGUAGAGACCAAUAAAAUAAAUACUAGGAGUUGAUGCAAUCAAGGCUGUGCUCUAGCAUGACCUUGGCCUAAUAACUGAAACUCAUGAAGAAAUGAUAUGAAUAAAAGUAAAUAUAGCAGUGUAUUUAUAAUUUAGAUGGUAA